AUUGAACGCUGGCGGCAGGCCUAACACAUGCAAGUCGAGCGGAGCGGCGGAAGGGUGAGUAAUGCCUAGGAAUCUGCAUGGUAGCGGGGGAUAACGUCCGGAAACGGGCGCUAAUACCGCAUACUAUCAGAUGAGCCUAGGUCGGAUGAGCUAGCUGGGGGGGUAAAGGCCUACCAAGGCGACGAUCCGUAACUGGUCUGAGAGGAUGAUAAGUCACACGGGAACUGAGACACGGUCCAGACUCCUACGGGAGUGCGCAGUGGGGAAUAUUGGACAAUGGGCGAAAGCCUGAUCCAGGCAGUGCGCGUGUGUGAAGAAGGUCUUCGGAUUGUAAAGCACUUUAAGUUGGGAGGCGUUACCAACAGGAUAAGCACCGGCUAACUUCGUGCCAGCAGCCGCGGUAAUAC
rnacentral:rRNA from 1 species